GAGCUUGCUCCUGAAUUCAGCGGCGGACGGGUGAGUAAUGUUUAGGAAUCUGCCUGGUAGUGGGGGGCGGCGUUUGGAAAGGAGCGCGUGUACCGCAUACGUCCUACGGGAGAAAGCAGGGGACCUUCGGGCCUUGCGCUAUCAGAUGAGCCUAGGGCGGAUUAGCUAGUUGGUGAGGGAAUGGCUCACCAAGGCGACGAUCCGUAACUGGUCUGAGAGGAUGAUCAGUCACACUGGAACUGAGACACGGUCCAGACUCCUACGGGAGGCAGCAGUGGGGAAUAUUGGACAAUGGGCGAAAGCCUGAUCCAGCCAUGCCGCGUGUGUGAAGAAGGUCUUCGGAUUGUAAAGCACUUUAAGUUGGGAGGAAGGGCAGUAAAUUAAUACUUUGCUGUUUUGACGUUACCGACAGAAUAAGCACCGGCUAACUCUGUGCCAGCCGCGGUAAUACAGAGGGUGCAAGCGUUAAUCGGAAUUACUGGGCG
rnacentral:rRNA from 1 species